rnacentral:rRNA from 1 species
AUUGAACGCUGGCGGCAGGCCUAACACAUGCAAGUCGAGCGGAGCGGCGGACGGGUGAGUAUUGCCUAGGUAUCUGCCUGGUAGUGAUGGAUCACGUUCGGAACCGGGCGCUAAUACUGCAUCCUCUCAGAUGCGCCUAGGUCGGAUUAGCUAGUUGGUGGGGUAAAGGCCUACCUAGGCGACGAUCCGUAGCUGGUCUGAGAGGAUGAUCAUGCACACGGGAACUGAGACACGGUCCAGACUCCUACGGGAGGCAGCAGUGGGGAAUAUUGGACAAUGGGCGAAAGCCUGAGCCAGCCAUGCCGCGUGUGUGAAGAAGGUCUUCGGGUUGUAAAGCACUUUAAGUUGGGAGGCGUUACCAACAGAAUAAGCACCGGCUAACUUCGUGCCAGCAGCCGCGGUAAUAC